rnacentral:rRNA from 1 species
UACGUAAGGGGCGAGCGUUAUCCGGAAUUACUGGGCGUAAAGCGCACGCAGGCGGUUCGCCAAGUUUGGAGUGACAGUUGUCGGCUCAACCGACAAAGGACUUCAAAAACUGGUGAACUUGAGGACGAGAGAGGAACAUGGAACUCCAGGUGUAGUAGUGAAAUGCGUAGAUAUCUGGAAGAACACCAAUGGCGAAGGCAAUGUUCUGGCUCGUUUCUGACGCUCAGGUGCGAAAGCCAGGGGAGCGAACGGG